rnacentral:lncRNA from 1 species
GAGUCGGCCUCGCCAGUGCGCAUGCGCGAGGCCCAAGCCGCCGCUUGGGUCAAAGUGAAAGCCACCGUUGCCCGGGGAUGGGUCCCUGACACUUGGCGAAGUAGGAGCCCUGUGUGAUCGUGCGUCUGAGUCUGGGCUGAGACCAGUCCUGGCCAGGGCAGUUACCAGGACGGUCUCCGGAGGCCGGGAUUCGCGGAGGGUCCACCAGCAGGAAGAAACCCCAAGAGGAAGAAACCUCAGACAGAUCGCCGGCGAGGCAGCGCGGGAUCCCAGCCUCAGGCGUGCGCGGACGGUGUGCGGCGCACACAACCAAGCUUAGGAGCCGACUGUUAAGAUGCCCCAGUGACACGGACAAGUUUCUCCUCUGCAACCCAAUGAGAGCUGCUGACCACGAGAGCAUCGCGGGACCGCCAAAGGAUUCUGGAAAAUGUGGUCCCGGGUGGCCAGUGUGCGCUGACCUUCACCUGAAGGUACGGCUUGAAGGAAACUUCUGGAGGGUGGGGUGGUGUUGAAGAGAAGGCACAAUUGUCACCAUUUUGUUCAACAUGGGCGUUUUCUUUGUGCAUUGAUUUGCAUUUUUAAAGGGCAAAGUUAGAGCAGCAAGGACCAGAUGGGGGCCAGGCACUUCCCCUGGG